rnacentral:lncRNA from 1 species
CUGGCGGCGUGCGUGACCGCCGGCAACCAGAGGCGGGGCCGAGGCAACAGCCGGGGCGCUGUCCGCAGUGGGGAUGGCGACGCGGACCACGGCUGCCCCUCUGCCCACCUCAGUGGGCCUGUGCAUCUGGGCUGCCUCGCCUGCAGGUUUCCGCUCAGUUCAGGGGAGGCGGGUGCGGGAGGGAGCAGAGCCCGUCAGACCCCACAGGGACACGUGAGACGCCUGCUGCUACCACACACGCCUGCACCAUCAACAUACAAAGAGAAACGGCUUACUGCACCUCAGUCUCAAAGGCUGUGUUCAGGACUGGGUGGCCCUGCAGCCAUGGGGCCCGGGACAAGGCACCAGGACAUCAAAACUGCUCACCUCACAGUGGCCAGGAAGCAACGGAGAGGAGACGGCCAGCGUCUCACGGUCCCUUUCAGGAGCGCCCCUUGAUCAACACAAGCUCUCCAGGCACCACCUCAAAGGUUUUAGCACUUGCAGCAGUGCCACACUGAGUCCAUCCUCUAAUCUCGGGUCUCAGGGGACAUUCCAGAUCCAAACUGUCCAUCUGCCACCUGCUCCUGCAGGGACCCUUGCCAGCCAGGCCUGGCCUCACCGAGAGCUCUGCUCCUGGCCCCUGAGGGCUCCAUGGCCUCAGCAGGGACCAGGCUGCUCCUGCCCCCGAGGCUCAGCUGCCUGUCCUCGCUUGCAAGCUCAGGACAGUGUGCUGAAGGCCCCGGUGUCACUCCUGAGCUGGGCCCCCACUCACUGGGCAUCUACUGAAGAAAACUCAGCCCCUCCCACAUCAACCUCCUGAGGAAGGCGACUUCCACGCGCAGAUGCCGCCAACGGCAGUGCUUGCCUGCGGUGUCUCUGUGUGGAGGCCUUGGCUACCUCUUCCAACAGCUCUGAGGGCAGGCGGCACGGAUUCCAUGCUUGCUGAGGGUGACAUGCUAGGACUGGAAUGCGCCCACCUGCCUCCUGACCCUGACCUCUGCUGCUCUACUCUGUCCAGAUGAUUCAGAGGAGCGAAAUGUCCGGCACCUCCAGGGAAAUUUGCCUUUUUUUUCUUUUUAUAAAAUUCAG